rnacentral:rRNA from 1 species
UACGUAGGGUGCGAGCGUUGUCCGGAAUCACUGGGCGUAAAGAGCGCGUAGGUGGUUUGUCGCGUUGUGCGUGAAAACCGGGGGCUUAACCCUCGGCGUGCGGGCGAUACGGGCAGACUUGAGUACUGCAGGGGAGACUGGAAUUCCUGGUGUAGCGGUGAAAUGCGUAGAUAUCGGGAGGAACACCAGUGGCGAAGGCGGCUUCCUGGCCUGUUCUUGACGCUGAGGCGCGAAAGCUAGGGGAGCAAACGGG